AUUGAACGCUGGCGGCAGGCCUAACACAUGCAAGUCGAGCGGUAGAGAGGUGCUUGCAUCUCUUGAGAGCGGCGGACGGGUGAGUAAUGCCUAGGAAUCUGCCUAGUGGUGGGGGAUAACGUUCGGAAACGGACGCUAAUACCGCAUACGUCCUACGGGAGAAAGCGGGGGAUCUUCGGACCUCGCGCCAUUAGAUGAGCCUAGGUCGGAUUAGCUAGUUGGUGAGGUAAUGGCUCACCAAGGCGACGAUCCGUAACUGGUCUGAGAGGAUGAUCAGUCACACUGGAACUGAGACACGGCCCAGACUCCUACGGGAGGCAGCAGUGGGGGAAUUUUUGGACAAUGGGCGGCAAGCCUGAUCCAGCAAUGCCGCGUGCAGGAUGAAGGCCUCGGUU
rnacentral:rRNA from 1 species